rnacentral:rRNA from 1 species
CCUACGGGGGGCAGCAGUGAGGAAUAUUGGUCAAUGGACGCAAGUCUGAACCAGCCAUGCCGCGUGCAGGAAGACGGCUCUAUGAGUUGUAAACUGCUUUUGUACGAGGGUAAACGCAGAUACGCGUACCUGUCUGAAAGUAUCGUACGAAUAAGGAUCGGCUAACUCCGUGCCAGCAGCCGCGGUAAUACGGAGGAUUCAAGCGUUAUCCGGAUUUAUUGGGUUUAAAGGGUGCGUAGGCGGUCGGAUAAGUUAGAGGUGAAAUCCCGAGGCUCAACUUCGGAAUUGCCUCUGAUACUGUUCGGCUAGAGAGUGGUUGCGGUAGGCGGAAUGUGUGGUGUAGCGGUGAAAUGCUUAGAGAUCAUACAGAACACCGAUUGCGAAGGCAGCUUACCAAGCUACUUCUGACGUUGAGGCACGAAAGCGUGGGUAGCAAACAGGAUUAGAUACCCGUGUAGUC